UACGGGGGGGUGAAGCGUUGUUCGGAAUUACUGGGCGUAAAGGGCGCGAUAGGCGGCCGGAUCAAGUUCAGGGGUGAAAGGCCUGUGGCUCAACCACAGAAUGGCCCUUUGAUACUGUUCGGCUCGAGACCGGAAGAGGUUGGUGGAACUGCGAGGUGAGAGGUGAAAUUCGGUAGAUAUUAGCAAGAACACCAGUGGCGAAGGGCGGACUCGACUGGCCCGUAGUACCGUGAACGGCUGG
rnacentral:rRNA from 1 species